AAUAGAUACCCCGGUAGUCCACGCCGUAAACGAUGAGUGCUAAGUGUUAGAGGGUUUCCGCCCUUUAGUGCUGCAGCUAACGCAUUAAGCACUCCGCCUGGGGAGUACGGCCGCAAGGCUGAAACUCAAAGGAAUUGACGGGGGCCCGCACAAGCGGUGGAGCAUGUGGUUUAAUUCGAAGCAACGCGAAGAACCUUACCAGGUCUUGACAUCCUCUGCCACUCCUAGAGAUAGGACGUUCCCCUUCGGGGGACAGAGUGACAGGUGGUGCAUGGUUGUCGUCAGCUCGUGUCGUGAGAUGUUGGGUUAAAUCCCGCAACGAGCGCAACCCUUGUUCUUAGUUGCCAGCAUUCAGUUGGGCACUCUAAGGAGACUGCCGGUGACAAACCGGAGGAAGGUGGGGAUGACGUCAAAUCAUCAUGCCCCUUAUGACCUGGGCUACACACGUGCUACAAUGGAUGGUACAAAGGGCUGCGAGACCGCGAGGUUUAGCCAAUCCCAUAAAACCAUUCUCAGUUCGGAUUGUAGG
rnacentral:rRNA from 1 species